rnacentral:lncRNA from 1 species
GGUGGCAAAAUUAAUGGAACAGAAAAAUAAAAAAAAAAAAUAACUACGAGACAAGUGGGGAGGACGACAUUAAAUGAAAAAUUCAUACAGUUUUCUCACGAUUUUUGUGAAUUGAAUUGGUGAGAACAUGUUUAACUUAAAAGUUGUUAAGGAGAAACGCGAUUUACAUAAAAUGUAAUAGAUUAUAUUUUAUUGGAGUCUUUGGAGCUGGCAACCUUUUAAAAGUUGUAGCUUCUAAUUUUCAUAAUAUCGAAAGUAAUUAAUUAG